ACAGCUGUAGCCCUAGCUACUAGGGAGAUUGGGGCAGGAGGAGACUUGAGCCCAGGAGGUCGAGGCUACAGUGAGCCAUGUUUAUACCACUGCACUCCAGCCUGGGUGACAGAGUGAGAUGCUGUCUCAGAAAAAAAAAAAGAAAAAAGAAAUUCACUCUAUUGGUAGCAAGUUGCAAGAUUGUGCAUACAGUGUUACAUAUAGUAAUUGGAGUAAAUAUAUAUAUUAGCUCU
rnacentral:lncRNA from 10 species